CACGUGGGUAACCUGCCCUUGACUUCGGGAUAACUCCGGGAAACCGGGGCUAAUACCGGAUAGGAGCUCCUGCCGCAUGGUGGGGGCUGGAAAGAUUUAUCGGUCAGGGAUGGACCCGCGGCCUAUCAGCUUGUUGGUGGGGUGAUGGCCUACCAAGGCGACGACGGGUAGCCGGCCUGAGAGGGUGAUCGGCCACACUGGGACUGAGACACGGCCCAGACUCCUACGGGAGGCAGCAGUGGGGAAUCUUGCACAAUGGGCGAAAGCCUGAUGCAGCGACGCCGCGUGCGGGAUGACGGCCUUCGGGUUGUAAACCGCUUUCAGCAGGGACGAAGCGGAAGUGACGGUACCUGCAGAAGAAGCCCCGGCCAACUACGUGCCAGCAGCCGCGGUAAUACGUAGGGGGCGAGCGUUGUCCGGAUUUAUUGGGCGUAAAGAGCUCGUAGGCGGCUGUUCGAGUCGGGUGUGAAACCCCAGGGCUUAACUCUGGGACUGCAUCCGAUACUGGGCGGCUUGAGUCUGGUAGGGGGAUCUGGAAUUCCUGGUGUAGCGGUGGAAUGCGCAGAUAUCAGGAGGAACACCGGUGGCGAAGGCGGGAUCCUGGGCCAGUACUGACGCUGA
rnacentral:rRNA from 1 species